GACGAACGCUGGCGGCGUGCUUAACACAUGCAAGUCGAACGGAAAGGCCCUGCUUUUGUGGGGUGCUCGAGUGGCGAACGGGUGAGUAACACGUGAGUAACCUGCCCUUGACUUUGGGAUAACUUCAGGAAACUGGGGCUAAUACCGGAUAGGAGCUCCUGCUGCAUGGUGGGGGUUGGAAAGUUUCGGCGGUUGGGGAUGGACUCGCGGCUUAUCAGCUUGUUGGUGGGGUAGUGGCUUACCAAGGCUUUGACGGGUAGCCGGCCUGAGAGGGUGACCGGCCACAUUGGGACUGAGAUACGGCCCAGACUCCUACGGGAGGCAGCAGUGGGGGAUAUUGCACAAUGGGCGGAAGCCUGAUGCAGCAACGCCGCGUGCGGGAUGACGGCCUUCGGGGUGUAAACCGCUUUCGCCUGUGACGAAGCGUGAGUGACGGUAAUGGGUAAAGAAGCACCGGCUAACUACGUG
rnacentral:rRNA from 1 species